rnacentral:rRNA from 1 species
UACGAAGGGGGCUAGCGUUGCUCGGAAUCACUGGGUGUAAAGCGCACGUAGGCGGACUCUUAAGUCGGUGGUGAAAUCCUGGAGCUCAACUCCAGAACUGCCUUCGAUACUGAGAGUCUCGAGUCCGGGAGAGGUGAGUGGAACUGCGAGUGUAGAGGUGAAAUUCGUAGAUAUUCGCAAGAACACCAGUGGCGAAGGCGGCUCACUGGCCCGGUACUGACGCUGAGGUGCGAAAGCGUGGGGAGCAAACAGGG